UUUUGUUUGUUUGUUUGUUUUUAGGGUUUCGUUUUUGCACUGAAUGUAGCCAGGACGGAUCCUUGUGGGCUUUGGCAGCCCUUGGAAACUGUCAAAGGCAGUAUUUUGCAUUUCUGCAGAGUUUUGCACAGAUCCUGUUCCCAUGCAAACUGAUGAGGGAGAAAUACUGGAGGAAGGCAGUCCCAAGGUCAGUGAGGGCCUAUUUCUGAUUGCUGCUUCCAGCUGGCAGAACUGUGAAGUUUACACCCUCAUCUCUUGCCAGGAGAAACAGAUGGAACAUGAGGAUUUUGUAAUGGAAGGGCAUGGCAAGACUCCACCUCCUGGUGAAGAAAACAAACAGUGAGUCACAUGUUUAUUU
rnacentral:lncRNA from 1 species